rnacentral:rRNA from 1 species
AGUUCCAAUAGCGUAUAUUAAAGUUGUUGCAGUUAAAAAGCUCGUAAUUGAACUUGUGGCCUAGAUGGCUCAGUCUGACGCUUAUGCGUGGGUACCUAAGCCAUCAAACAAUCCUUGAGUGGAACCUGUGUGGCAUUAAGUUGUCGUGUUGGGGAUGCCCAUCGUUUACUGUGAAAAAGUUAAAGUGUUCAAAGCAGGCUUAUGCCUUUGAAUAUAUUAACAUGGAAUAAUGAUAUAGGACUUUAAAACUAUUUUGUUGGUUUGUGCACUAAAGUAAUGAUUAAUAAGGACAGUUGGGGAUAUUAGUAUUUUUAGGUCAGCGGUGAAAUGCUUGGAUCCUCUUAAAAGACUAACUAAUGCGAAAGCAUUUAUCAAGGAUGUUUUCA